UACUCCUACGGGAGGCAGCAGUGGGGAAUCUUCCGCAAUGGACGAAAGUCUGACGGAGCAACGCCGCGUGAGUGAUGACGGCCUUCGGGUUGUAAAGCUCUGUUAAUCGGGACGAAAGGCCUUCUUGCGAAUAGUGAGAAGGAUUGACGGUACCGGAAUAGAAAGCCACGGCUAACUACGUGCCAGCAGCCGCGGUAAUACGUAGGUGGCAAGCGUUGUCCGGAAUUAUUGGGCGUAAAGCGCGCGCAGGCGGAUCAGUCAGUCUGUCUUAAAAGUUCGGGGCUUAACCCCGUGAGGGGAUGGAAACUGCUGAUCUAGAGUAUCGGAGAGGAAAGUGGAAUUCCUAGUGUAGCGGUGAAAUGCGUAGAUAUUAGGAAGAACACCAGUGGCGAAGGCGACUUUCUGGACGAAAACUGACGCUGAGGCGCGAAAGCCAGGGGAGCGAACGGGAUUAGAUACCCCGGUAGUCCUGGCCGUAAACGAUGGGUACUAGGUGUAGGAGGUAUCGACCCCUUCUGUGCCGGAGUUAACGCAAUAAGUACCCCGCCUGGGGAGUACGACCGCAAGGUUGAAACUCAAAGGAAUUGACGGA
rnacentral:rRNA from 1 species